rnacentral:lncRNA from 1 species
UUUUCAAUGUUUCACUGACGAGAUUGAGAAUCGUCGGAACACCGUCGAAUGGCGCGAACUAACGCUGACCGUGUAGAUUUGGACACCGGGAGGUCGCCCCCGCACUUAAUUGGCUAAUUACUGUUGCAACUUAUUGCAACUGCAGAUUUUUCCCUAUUAAUACCCUCUGGCCCAAGCAGCCAUGUCUUACGUCUGUCAAGUCGCGAAGUGCGUGGACGUAAACCCGGAUUAGCCCUCUCGAGCAAUAGUAGCGUUCGGAAAAUCUUAGUUGUGACCGGCCUAAAGU